rnacentral:rRNA from 1 species
AGAAGGGAAAGAGAGAGGAGUAGUAGGUAGGGACCCUUCUUUCGUUUUCGCCGUGCGCGUAUGUGUGGGGGUGGAGGGAGGGAAAGAGAGAGGGGGGUGGUCGAUCUCUCUCUCUCUCUCUCGCUCUCCGUUCGACGGGACGGCUGGAGGCGCUGGCGGCGGCGACGGCUGCGCUACCGGGCGGACAAGGCGCUGGGGGCGGCGCUGAGGCGGAGGAGGAGGAGGUUACCGAAGCGCGGGGGCCAGCGCAGCGGGCGGCGGAGGCGCGACGGCAGCGGCAAGGGGCUGGAGCCGCACGUCGAGAGGCGCCGGCUCGAGGCGCUCUGGCGGAUGCUCCAGGAGCAGAGGCGCAGGGCGUGGUGGCCGCCGUUCGGGGAGUGGAUGUAGGGGGUCCGCCCGGGGCGCAGGGGGCGGAGCCGGAGGAGCCGCAGGAGGCAGUUGUCGAGGAGGAGCAGCGAGGUCGCGAGCGAAUGGAGCCGGCGGCGGUCGUUCUACUUCUUCCGCGAGCCCGAGUUCAGGAGCCGGAGCAGGUUCCCCCCGUCGGGCCCCUCGCCUCCACGGCCCCAGUUCCGCCGGGGCGUCGCCGGCCGCUGCCAGCCCCUCGACUACGCCCGCGUCUACGCGCACAGCCUCGGGCGGCUGCGGUCCUAGGCCUCCCCGGAGGAGGCGUAGCGGCGCCCAGUCGAACCGUCCGCGCGCCUUCGAUACCAAAAUGGGAACCUUAAGGACGUCGUCAAGUUCCGUAGUCUAAAGGGACUAGAAGUUCUUGUGCUCCGUACCGUCCCGUCCUUGAACUUCGAAUAACUCCGACCAAACGAGCAAGUGGGCAAACAAGGCGACUUGUUUAGUCUGUCAAGACGUGUUGCCGACUUCGUUUAGUAUGCACCUCGUAUACUAUCCGGUGAACUUUGACCCUUUUUGAGUCUCAGCUACGUCCAGAAUGCGUGACGACAGUACAGGGAACGACCUUCCAGGGUACUACCUUGAAGACUACCUACGGUGACCCGUCUACCAAAGGGGAACUUAGAGGUAGAAAUGGUUUACAACCAUCUUCGAACGAAACUAUCACUACUAUCGUGACACCAACUGCUCUAACUACUCCACUAACUCGAGAACUUCUUCUGAACCCAAUAAGAACCUUAAUUGGUCUACGAAGUAUUAGAAACGAAACGAACCCGUAACAAGUUAGUAAAACAAUACAGUCCGGUUCAUCUAUAGCUCGACGAAAGACGACGACUCUUAGUCAACCAACUUCAACGUUUCCUACGGUUUUGGUGAUUCCUAGGUUUAAUGACAUUUCAUAACUCAAGUUGUAAUUCGAGCUAUUACCCGACCUGUCUUUUUUCUGAAGACCGCAUGGUACUUUGUAAAUUAUGUUCAUUGUAGCUCAGGUACGUUCCAUAACAGAGUUAACCUCACUGUCGACGUUUCCACGAACAACUUCUAUAUAGGGUACUUAUGGCGGCAUCCUCCUUUCUUCUCUGACUACAUCGAGCUUCAUCCUAUCUUUGUAUACAUUCCAGAAGUGAGGCAUGUCGAAAACGAGUUUCUUACCUUCUUCGUCUAAGUUUCGCUAGUAGUUCCUUGGGAUGGGGUCAAUACAGAUAGGAACGUUUCCUGUAACCACUGGAUCGUUAAUUCCUCUUUUUAGACAUGUCAGGUUAUGACUUCUGUACCGUAGGGGAGCGAAGUCCACAACGACAACGUUGGGAAGUAAGUACAAUACCUUCACUCGACUUCGUCAAGUAUCGACCCGAAUGUCUCAAUUGGGGCCUCUGUCAAGUUCACGAGUUCAGACGUCUGUUUAAUCUUUUCCUAGAGCAAUUAUAACGACAGCUUCUAAGACACCUAUCACUACUACCUCCGUUCAGUAAUUAGUCUCUCUACGGUGGUAUACUUCGACUUUUACGUUAACGAUUAGAACACUUUCACACCUAUUUUCUUUCCCACCUAUCUGAGUUCCCUACCCAACUGGCCUUAGACUUCGUUCUCUGUACCUCAGGUCCACGGUUGUCUCUAUUGAAACGAGGGAGCAGACACCUCUACGAAGCCUAAUAACCCCUUUGUGACCUACGUAAAAAGCUUAACGGGUAUGGUUACGUAGGUCGAGAAGAAGGACUAGACUGUCAUCCAGACCUAUCUUCGAAUGUCGAUAUACACAGAUUUCGUUUUAGACCGACACCCAGUGCCUCAAGAAAAUAUGGGCUUGAUGGAGGUGAUUGCGCUACACUCCAACCGAGCUUUGAUGAUAAGUUCUUUUUCCUCUUCGGUGUCUUAGGUGUCGUAGCUCCUGGUGUUUUACCUCGUUGGUUACCUUGACUGGGGAACCCGGAAGGAGUUGAAACACAUGCGAACUUAUGUGAAGUCAUGUAGGCUUCGCUCGACCUCUUGGAUCUCUUCUUCUAAUUUUGUACGAACGCCUUGCAGCUCAGUCGAGUCCGUCUAUAAUGAUUACCUAACCUCAAGUUCAAACUUGAAACAGUCCGCCGGACAGUUCUUCCAUAUGUUGUGAACACACUCUGCUGACGAAUGUUCCAGUGGAAAAAGCUGAACCCGGUAUAAGACACCCUGUGAGAGAUGUAGCCACUAGAACGUAGCUCGUCCCACCUGAAUAACAACUCUCUCGAACUAGGAUAGGACCUCUGUUAUAGUCCAUGCCACGUGUAGUUCCACGCCUUGGCACGGUAUUGCCGUAACUACUUUCGGUGUAAGCUGCCGAAGAACGACCAAUAGGAACGACCACCCGGAGACGCACGAAAAUGGGCCGUCCUGAGAGUCUAUUAUCUCCCGCUGAAGUCCAGGGAGUCUCUGGACAAAGACCGGCUGCCUCUACCAAACGGCCUCCUCGACCAACUGUUCCGCAGGAGGGUCCAUUUCUUACAGGACGGGGAGGAUGCUUGUCUGAGCCUUCCGGAGUAGCUCGCCAAGUUUGCUGACUAACGGCUAAGCCUAGUUUCGGCUUGACGGAGGUCCCCGUUCAACGGCUACGGUUGCUGAUGUCCUGUGACCUCAGGUUUACUACGCUUGUGCCAGGACGCCCAGGACACGAUGGCCGUGCUCCUCCGCCGAUGUUCCAAGGAGUUCUUUUGGAUACCGGAAGGGUUCUUCGAAACUGUACCCUACUAUCGAGUACUGUGUGUCCAACAUGUAAAGGUUCGGCGGCGGCGAUAGAUAGUGUUGUCUAUAAACGAGCCCUAUUACAUAACCUAUAUAGAGCUAAGGCAAAAUGAUCAAACGUUGUCUUGAAACACAACAUCUACAAGAACCAAUUCCUCUUGGUUGUACACCAACCAACUAGUCCUCCCGUCAUGAUAGUCCCAAGUUUGGGAUCCAAAAAUGCGAAAACACGGAGUAUUACCACCUUAUAAGUAAGUCACCCUCCACUGCAAGAACAGCUGUCGCUCCGCAGCCACCACUGAAACAGUUAUAGUUCUGAACAACCGAAUCAAAAAACCUACACAAAUAAAUAUCCCUAACCCACAACAUUGGCGUUAUUAAACUUCAAGAGUAUAUUCGUGUUCCCGUUGUUGGAACGUUUAAAUAUACGUAACAUUGGCGUC